UAGGGAAUCUUCCGCAAUGGACGAAAGUCUGACGGAGCAACGCCGCGUGAGUGAAGAAGGAUUUCGGUUCGUAAAACUCUGUUGUUAGGGAAGAAAAAAUGUAUAGUAACUAUAUACAAAAGAGACGGUACCUAACCAGAAAGCCACGGCUAACUACGUGCCAGCAGCCGCGGUAAUACGUAGGUGGCAAGCGUUGUCCGGAAUUAUUGGGCGUAAAGCGCGCGCAGGUGGUUUAGAAAGUCUGAUGUGGAAGCCCACGGCUCAACCGUGGAGGGUCAUUGGAAACUAAUAAACUUGAGUGCAGGAGAGAAAAGUGGAAUUCCUAGUGUAGCGGUGAAAUGCGUAGAGAUUAGGAGGAACACCGGUGGCGAAAGCGGCUUUUUGGCCUGCAACUGACACUGAGGCGCGAAAGCGUGGGGAGCAAACAGG
rnacentral:rRNA from 1 species